GGUCGAUUAGCUCAGUUGGUUAGAGCGCUACGGUGACAUCGUAGAGGCCACUAGUUCGAAUCUAGUAUCGACUA
rnacentral:tRNA from 1 species